UACGGAGGGUGCAAGCGUUGCUCGGAAUUAUUGGGCGUAAAGGGUAGGUAGGUGGUCUUAUUUGUCUGGGGUGAAAGCCUUGAGCUUAACUCAAGAAGUGCCUCGGAAACGGUGAGACUGGAGUCCUGGAGAGGGUCGUGGAAUUCCCGGUGUAGCGGUGAAAUGCGUAGAGAUCGGGAGGAACACCAGAGGCGAAGGCGGCGACCUGGACAGGCACUGACACUCAACUACGAAAGCGUGGGGAGCAAACAGG
rnacentral:rRNA from 1 species